GAUGAACGCUGGCGGUAUGCUUAACACAUGCAAGUCGAACGGACGCUUCGGAGUUAGUGGCGGACGGGUGAGUAAAGCGUGGGAAAAUGGCUUUGGGUUCGGGACAACCACUGGAAACGGUGGCUAAUACCGGAUGUGCCGAGAGGUAAAAGAGAAAUUGCCUGAAGAUGAGCUCGCGUCUGAUUAGCUAGUUGGUGAGGUAAAGGCUCACCAAGGCAGCGAUCAGUAGCUGGGCUGAGAGGAUGACCGGCCAAGCUGCGUCUGGGACGCGGCACAGACUCCUUCUGGAGGCUGCAGUGAGGCAUUUUCCGCCAAUGGCGAGUGCCUGACGAAGCACUUCCGCGUGUGGGACGCUUGCUCUUGGGUUGUAAACCUCUUUUCUUAGGGCAGAACUAGAUGACGGUACCGAAAGAAUCAGCACCGGCUAACUCCGUG
rnacentral:rRNA from 1 species